rnacentral:rRNA from 1 species
AGCGAACGCUGGCGGCAUGCCUAACACAUGCAAGUCGCACGGGGGGGCUUCGGCCUCCCAGUGGCGGACGGGUGAGGAACGCGUAGGGACCUGUCGAGGGGUGGGGGAUAACCGCGGGAAACUGCGGCUAAUACCGCAUGACGCCGCGGCGUGACAGCCGGGGCCAAAGGCGAAAGCCGCCCGCCGAGGGGCCUGCGUCCGAUUAGCUGGUUGGCGGGGUAGCGGCCCACCAAGGCGUCGAUCGGUAGCUGGUCUGAGAGGGUGAUCAGCCACACCGGGACUGAGACACGGCCCGAACUCCUACGGGAGGCAGCAGUGGGGAAUAUUGGACAAUGGGCGCAAGCCUGAUCCAGCAUGCCGCGUGGGUGAAGAAGGUCUUCGGAUUGUAAAGCCCUUUCGGCGGGGACGAUGGUGACGGUACCCGCAGAAGAAGCCCCGGCUAACUUCGUG